rnacentral:sRNA from 1 species
AAAUGUACAGUUAAAUGGAAAGGCCUU